rnacentral:tRNA from 1 species
GGUUCUGGCCCAGCGGUAGAGGGCUCACCUCACACAUGCGAGACCCUGGGUUCAAUUCUCAGCACCA